rnacentral:rRNA from 2 species
GCUCAGGACGAACGCAGGCGGCGUGCCUAAUACAUGCAAGUCGAACGAACUCUGGUAUUGAUUGGUGCUUGCAUCAUGAUUUACAUUUGAGUGAGUGGCGAACUGGUGAGUAACACGUGGGAAACCUGCCCAGAAGCGGGGGAUAACACCUGGAAACAGAUGCUAAUACCGCAUAACAACUUGGACCGCAUGGUCCGAGCUUGAAAGAUGGCUUCGGCUAUCACUUUUGGAUGGUCCCGCGGCGUAUUAGCUAGAUGGUGGGGUAACGGCUCACCAUGGCAAUGAUACGUAGCCGACCUGAGAGGGUAAUCGGCCACAUUGGGACUGAGACACGGCCCAAACUCCUACGGGAGGCAGCAGUAGGGAAUCUUCCACAAUGGACGAAAGUCUGAUGGAGCAACGCCGCGUGAGUGAAGAAGGAUUUCGGCUCGUAAAACUCUGUUGUUAAAGAAGAACAUAUCUGAGAGUAACUGUUCAGGUAUUGACGGUAUUUAACCAGAAAGCCACGGCUAACUACGUGCCAGCAACCGCGGUAAUACGUAGGUGGCAAGCGUUGUCCGGAUUUAUUGGGCGUAAAGCGAGCGCAGGCGGUUUUUUAAGUCUGAUGUGAAAGCCUUCGGCUCAACCGAAGAAGUGCAUCGGAAACUGGGAAACUUGAGUGCAGAAGAGGACAGUGGAACUCCAUGUGUAGCGGUGAAAUGCGUAGAUAUAUGGAAGAACACCAGUGGCGAAGGCGGCUGUCUGGUCUGUAACUGACGCUGAGGCUCGAAAGUAUGGGUAGCAAACAGGAUUAGAUACCCUGGUAGUCCAUACCGUAAACGAUGAAUGCUAAGUGUUGGAGGGUUUCCGCCCUUCAGUGCUGCAGCUAACGCAUUAAGCAUUCCGCCUGGGGAGUACGGCCGCAAGGCUGAAACUCAAAGGAAUUGACGGGAGCCCGCACAAGCGGUGGAGCAUGUGGUUUAAUUCGAAGCUACGCGAAGAACCUUACCAGGUCUUGACAUACUAUGCAAAUCUAAGAGAUUAGACGUUCCCUUCGGGGACAUGGAUACAGGUGGUGCAUGGUUGUCGACAGCUCGUGUCGUGAGAUGUUGGGUUAAGUCCCGCAACGAGCGCAACCCUUAUUAUCAGUUGCCAGCAUUAAGUUGGGCACUCUGGUGAGACUGCCGGUGACAAACCGGAGGAAGGUGGGGAUGACGUCAAAUCAUCAUGCCCCUUAUGACCUGGGCUACACACGUGCUACAAUGGAUGGUACAACGAGUUGCGAACUCGCGAGAGUAAGCUAAUCUCUUAAAGCCAUUCUCAGUUCGGAUUGUAGGCUGCAACUCGCCUACAUGAAGUCGGAAUCGCUAGUAAUCGCGGAUCAGCAUGCCGCGGUGAAUACGUUCCCGGGCCUUGUACACACCGCCCGUCACACCAUGAGAGUUUGUAACACCCAAAGUCGGUGGGGUAACCUUUUAGGAACCAGCCGCCUAAGGUGGGACAGAUGAUUAGGGUGAAGUCG